ACCCCCCCACUCUCUUCCUGCAUAUCAAUAAGCGGAGGAAAAGAAACCAACAGGGAUUGCCCUAGUAACGGCGAGUGAAGCGGCAACAGCUCAAAUUUGAAAUCUGGCCCUCGGGUCCGAGUUGUAAUGAGUAGGGGAUGCCUUUGGUGAGGUGCCAUCCGAGUUCCCUGGAACGGGACGCCAUAGAGGGUGAGAGCCCCGUCUGGUUGGACACCAAACCUCAGUAAAGCUCCUUCGACGAGUCGAGUAGUUGGGGAAUGCUGCUAUAAAUGGGAAGUAUAUGUCUUAAAAAGCUAAAUAUUGGCCAGAGACCGAUAGCGCACAAGUAGAGUGAUCGAAAGAUGAAAAGCACUUUGAAAAGAGGGUUAAAUAGUACGUGAAAUUAAGAAAGGGAAGCGCUUGUGACCAGAGCUGAGCCCGGUUAAUCAUCCAGCCUUCUGGCUGGUGCACGUGGCCGGCUCAGGCCAGCAUCAGUUCGGCGUGGGGGAUAAAGGUUUUGGGAAUCUGGCUCCUCCGGGAGUGUUAUAGCCCGGUGCGCAAUCCCCCGUACCGGAUUGAGGUUCUCGGUUCUCCACGUGCCAGCCCAGCUUAGAUCCCCGGUU
rnacentral:rRNA from 1 species